rnacentral:rRNA from 1 species
AAAUUGAAGAGUUUGAUCAUGGCUCAGAUUGAACGCUGGCGGCAGGCCUAACACAUGCAAGUCGAACGGUAACAGGAAGCAGCUUGCUGCUUCGCUGACGAGUGGCGGACGGGUGAGUAAUGUCUGGGAAACUGCCUGAUGGAGGGGGAUAACUACUGGAAACGGUGGCUAAUACCGCAUAACGUCGCAAGACCAAAGAGGGGGACCUUCGGGCCUCUUGCCAUCAGAUGUGCCCAGAUGGGAUUAGCUUGUUGGUGAGGUAACGGCUCACCAAGGCGACGAUCCCUAGCUGGUCUGAGAGGAUGACCAGCCACACUGGAACUGAGACACGGUCCAGACUCCUACGGGAGGCAGCAGUGGGGAAUAUUGCACAAUGGGCGCAAGCCUGAUGCAGCCAUGCCGCGUGUAUGAAGAAGGCCUUCGGGUUGUAAAGUACUUUCAGCGGGGAGGAAGGUGUUGUGGUUAAUAACCACAGCAAUUGACGUUACCCGCAGAAGAAGCACCGGCUAACUCCGUGCCAGCAGCCGCGGUAAUACGGAGGGUGCAAGCGUUAAUCGGAAUUACUGGGCGUAAAGCGCACGCAGGCGGUCUGUCAAGUCGGAUGUGAAAUCCCCGGGCUCAACCUGGGAACUGCAUUCGAAACUGGCAGGCUUGAGUCUUGUAGAGGGGGGUAGAAUUCCAGGUGUAGCGGUGAAAUGCGUAGAGAUCUGGAGGAAUACCGGUGGCGAAGGCGGCCCCCUGGACAAAGACUGACGCUCAGGUGCGAAAGCGUGGGGAGCAAACAGGAUUAGAUACCCUGGUAGUCCACGCCGUAAACGAUGUCUACUUGGAGGUUGUGCCCUUGAGGCGUGGCUUCCGGAGCUAACGCGUUAAGUAGACCGCCUGGGGAGUACGGCCGCAAGGUUAAAACUCAAAUGAAUUGACGGGGGCCCGCACAAGCGGUGGAGCAUGUGGUUUAAUUCGAUGCAACGCGAAGAACCUUACCUGGUCUUGACAUCCACAGAAGAAUCCAGAGAUGGAUUUGUGCCUUCGGGAACUGUGAGACAGGUGCUGCAUGGCUGUCGUCAGCUCGUGUUGUGAAAUGUUGGGUUAAGUCCCGCAACGAGCGCAACCCUUAUCCUUUGUUGCCAGCGAUUAGGUCGGGAACUCAAAGGAGACUGCCAGUGAUAAACUGGAGGAAGGUGGGGAUGACGUCAAGUCAUCAUGGCCCUUACGACCAGGGCUACACACGUGCUACAAUGGCGCAUACAAAGAGAAGCGACCUCGCGAGAGCAAGCGGACCUCAUAAAGUGCGUCGUAGUCCGGAUUGGAGUCUGCAACUCGACUCCAUGAAGUCGGAAUCGCUAGUAAUCGUGGAUCAGAAUGCCACGGUGAAUACGUUCCCGGGCCUUGUACACACCGCCCGUCACACCAUGGGAGUGGGUUGCAAAAGAAGUAGGUAGCUUAACCUUCGGGAGGGCGCUUACCACUUUGUGAUUCAUGACUGGGGUGAAGUCGUAACAAGGUAACCGUAGGGGAACCUGCGGUUGGAUCACCUCCUUACCUUAAAGAA